GUCCUUGCCGUAAACGAUGUAUACUUGGUGUAGCCGGAAUCAACCCUGGUUGCGCCGUAGCUAACGCGUUAAGUAUACCGCCUGGGGAGUACAGUCGCAAGGCUGAAACUCAAAAGAAUUGACGGGGACCCGCACAAGCAGUGGAGCAUGUGGUUUAAUUCGAUGCAACGCGAAGAACCUUACCCAGGCUUGACAUGCAGUGGACAGCUCCAGAGAUGGAGUCUUCCUUCGGGACCGCUGCACAGGUGCUGCAUGGCUGUCGU
rnacentral:rRNA from 1 species